ACCCUUAGAUGUUCUGGGCCGCACGCGUGCUACACUGAGUGGAUCAGCGGGUCAGGUUGCGCGAAAGUGUUUCCUAAUCUUGAAAUCCGCUCGUGAUGGGGAUUGACGCUUGCAAUUUUCCGUCAUGAACGAGGAAUACCUUGUAAGCGCGGGUCAUCAUCCCGCGCUGAAUACGUCCCUGCCCUUUGUACACACCGCCCGUCGCUCCUACCGAUUGAGUGGUCCGGUGAGGCUUUGGGAUCUGAGCAAAGAGAGCGUUUCGCUCGUUUUGCCCGGAAAACUCAGUCGAACCUUAUCAUUUAGAGGAAGGAGAAGUCGUAACA
rnacentral:rRNA from 1 species